ACCAAUUAACGAACGCACAUUCACUUUACCUCAGUGAAAACGUGCGAUUGUUAGUCAGAUCCUCACUUGUUAAAUUACAGUAAAUAAAUUAAUGCUUUUUGCGUAACUCGUUGAAUAUGUGUGCUUCACAUUUAACAGCAUGAAGAAUAACUUACGCAGGUACGCACGGUGACAAGUGACCAGUACAGCCAAACAUUGCACAGUUAUUUCCACUGAAAGGACUCAAACAGAUGUCCCCUGACAUCACCCCAACCUACAGAGUCAUUUCAUUCAGCUGGAAAGAAGAGUUGUCAUUUCUAUCUCACCUGCACAACUUUUCCCUGUGGGCUUUCGGAGAACACAAGGACUUGAUUGUAAAGGGGAUCUAGCGAUUUCCGGACAGAUUUUGUCUUCUUUUUGGCGAUGCAGAUACCAUUUUCCAGAAGAUGUGACCACAAUUUACAAAAAACAUUUGGCGAAAAACAAGUAACAGCAUACGGAUCUGGACCGAUGUGAGGAUCAUAUACAGGACACGACAGCCAAGUCAACCUGAACAUUUGUGCUCAGCCAUCUGCUCAUGGACCGGCUCAUCGCCGUAUCACUGUGCUUUCUCAUUGCCUAUGCCAACACAAAGGGUGUAGACCACAUGCACCUGCAUGCUGCAUAUCAGCUCAUGUGUACUCACAACAGAUGAGAGGACCCUAGAGAAGGGACAUGUUUCGAGCUGAAGUGCCAGACACCAAUGAAACCUGUCAGGUGUUGAGAGUAAAGCUGAAGCCUGGCCGAGCAGCCCAUGUAGACGCAACAGCUUUUCCUGCGGCGAGAGCGGACAUUGUGGGAUUAGAGACAUAACAGCAGGUGACACAACAGCAGAUCAGUGGCUUUCUGCACAAACGUAUCCUCCACCGAGUUCAAACACAAAGGAAAUGGAAAUAAGCAUUUUCUUUCGAUUCUUUAUAAAAUCCUGAAAAUAAAUAAAUGCUAAAACAUAC